GGAUGUGAGGGCGAUCUGGCUGCGACAUCUGUCACCCCAUUGAUUGCCAGGGUUGAUUCGGCUGAUCUGGCUGGCUAGGCGGGUGUCCCCCUCCUCCCUCACCGAUCCAUUUGCGUCCCUCCCGAAGCUGCGCGCUCGGUCGAAGAGGACGACCUUCCCCCCCAGGAGAGGACCGGUCUUCGGUCAAGGGUAUACGAGUAGCUGCGCUCCCCUGCUAGAACCUCCAAACAAGCUCUCAAAGAAUAUGUUUUCUCUUGAAAGCAUCUCAUUCUUCCUAUUCAGAAAUGAAGACCUAUGGUGCCAUCGUGGGUUGUUGU
rnacentral:snRNA from 1 species